UGCAAGUCGAACGAUGAAGCCCUUCGGGGUGGAUUAGUGGCGAACGGGUGAGUAACACGUGGGCAAUCUGCCCUGCACUCUGGGACAAGCCCUGGAAACGGGGUCUAAUACCGGAUAACACCCCCUCUCGCAUGGGAGGGGGUUGAAAGCUCCGGCGGUGCAGGAUGAGCCCGCGGCCUAUCAGCUUGUUGGUGAGGUAGAAGCUCACCAAGGCGACGACGGGUAGCCGGCCUGAGAGGGCGACCGGCCACACUGGGACUGAGACACGGCCCAGACUCCUACGGGAGGCAGCAGUGGGGAAUAUUGCACAAUGGGCGAAAGCCUGAUGCAGCGACGCCGCGUGAGGGAUGACGGCCUUCGGGUUGUAAACCUCUUUCAGCAGGGAAGAAGCGAAAGUGACGGUACCUGCAGAAGAAGCGCCGGCUAACUACGUGCCAGCAGCCGCGGUAAUACGUAGGGCGCAAGCGUUGUCCGGAAUUAUUGGGCGUAAAGAGCUCGUAGGCGGCUUGUCACGUCGGUUGUGAAAGCCCGGGGCUUAACCCCGGGUCUGCAGUCGAUACGGGCAGGCUAGAGUGUGGUAGGGGAGAUCGGAAUUCCUGGUGUAGCGGUGAAAUGCGCAGAUAUCAGGAGGAACACCGGUGGCGAAGGCGGAUCUCUGGGCCAUUACUGACGCUGAGG
rnacentral:rRNA from 1 species